GGCCGCGGCGGGAAAGCGCCCGGGGCCUGUGGCAGUGUCGCGUCGUGUCGCGAUUGUAUUCCCACGGCGUGUGGGGCCGUGUCACACCGUGUCGUGCUGUGUCACACCGUGCCACGCUGUCUGGCUCUGUACCAUGCCAUGCCCUGCCUGCUGUGGCUCGCUGACAGCGAGCCCCUCGAGGAAAAGAGGAAUGGGAUGCCUGGCCCAGAGCCACCAGGAGUGAAGUCUGGGAACGGACCAGUGACUGAGGAAAAAGUGAUUUUGGAAGUGGGAGAUCACAACCACUGACUCAUUGACUGCCUACCCCAGACUCAAAUGAGGGGAAGAACUCUGCCUGUGGAUUAAUUAGCAUGAGACACAAGAAACAUAACUAGCAAGUAAGGGAUUGAGUAAUGAAUAACAAAAGGUUCUGUAAUUUGCAAUCAAUGAAUGCUAAUAGUUUUGUUAAAAUGUAUAAAUAAUGUAAAGUUUCUACAGGUGAGGAGCCAGCCUUUUGUGGGUUAUCACCUAGCUCCCUAUUUUGUGCAAAUUAGAAAAAAACACCCAAAAAUACCUCUCCUUGGUGUGUGAAUUGGUGCUGCACACUGUGGAACAAGCCCAUGCUUGGGACAGCAAUCCAGUGCCAGAGCCAUGUAGUGCUGAGUCUUGUUUUCCAUUUGUUCAUUUCUUCCCCCUUGUUUUCCCUUAAGUACCAAAUAAAAAGAGACAAAAAAACAAG